UCCCUGGUAGCUCAGCAGUUAAAGAAUCUGCCUGCCAAGCAGGAGACUCAGGUUCAAUCCCUGGCUCAGGAA
rfam:TPA: Bos taurus chromosome 21, whole genome shotgun sequence.